UACCAGCACCCCGAGUGGUCGGGACGAUUAUUGGGCCUAAAGCAUCCGUAGCCGGUUCUACAAGUCUUCCGUUAAAUCCACCUGCUUAACAGAUGGGCUGCGGAGGAUACUAUGGAGCUAGGAGGCGGGAGAGGCAAGCGGUACUUAGUGGGUAGGGGUAAAAUCCGUUGAUCCAUUGAAGACCACCAGUGGCGAAGGCGGCUUGCCAGAACGCACUCGACGGUGAGGGAUGAAAGCUGGGGGAGCAAACGGG
rnacentral:rRNA from 1 species